rnacentral:ncRNA from 15 species
GUGCUGAUGAAGGGCUGCCCCCCCCACUCCCUCUCCCCAACUGCUGCUCUGCUUCUGAAG